ACACCUCAACUCUCAUGGUUUGCCAUGAUGAGCUUGGACUUUGGGGGUAUUGCCGGCCUAACCGUCGGCUCCUCUCAAAUCGAUCAGCUUGCCAGUGUUUGGUGGCGUCACAGGUGUGAUAACUAUCUACGCUUGCUGUCUUCCAUCAGGUUACCUUCAGUGAUGAAGGUUCACUGGAGCUUACAGAUGUCUCUCCUCAGGGAGGACAGCUUUUUGAACGU
rnacentral:misc_RNA from 1 species